rnacentral:hammerhead_ribozyme from 1 species
AUCCAGCUGACGAGUCUCAAAUGGGAGGAAACGGCGUCCUGGAU